rnacentral:rRNA from 1 species
GACGAACGCUGGCGGCGUGCUUAACACAUGCAAGUCGAACGAAGAGCGACGGAAGCUUGCUUCUAUCAAUCUUAGUGGCGAACGGGUGAGUAACGCGUAAUCAACCUGCCCUUCAGAGGGGGACAACAGUUGGAAACGACUGCUAAUACCGCAUACGAUCUAAUCUCGGCAUCGAGGAUGGAUGAAAGGUGGCCUCUACAUGUAAGCUAUCACUGAAGGAGGGGAUUGCGUCUGAUUAGCUAGUUGGAGGGGUAACGGCCCACCAAGGCGAUGAUCAGUAGCCGGUCUGAGAGGAUGAACGGCCACAUUGGGACUGAGACACGGCCCAGACUCCUGCGGGAGGCAGCAGUGGGGAAUCUUCCGCAAGGGACGAAAGUCUGACGGAGCAACGCCGCGUGAGUGAUGACGGCCUUCGGGUUGUAAAGCUCUGUUAAUCGGGACGAAAGGCCUUCUUGCGAAUAGUGAGAAGGAUUGACGGUACCGGAAGAGAAAGCCACGGCUAACUACGUG